rnacentral:rRNA from 14 species
UAAAACCUUUAACGAGGACCUAUUGGAGGGCAAGUCUGGUGCCAGCAGCCGCGGUAAUUCCAGCUCCAACAGCGUAUAUUAAAGUUGUUGCAGUUAAAAAGCUCGUAGUUGGAUUUUGGAUUGGUCUUGGCGGGUCCGUCGAAAGAUGUGUACUGGUCGGGCUGGUCCCUGGGCCCGGGUGGUGCGUGUGGCCUUUGUUGGUCGUGCGUAUUGGUCGGGACGCUUACUGUGAAGAAAUUAGAGUGUUCAAAGCAGGCAUUUAGCUUGAAUACAUUAGCAUGGAAUAAUGGAAUAGGACUUUGGUUCCUAUUUUGUUGGUGCGUAGGACCGAAGUAAUGAUUAAUAGGGACAGGCGGGGGCCUAGGUAUUCCGAAGUCAGUGGUGAAAUACUUGGAUUUUCGGAAGACCAACUGCUGCGAAAGCGUCUGCCAAGGAUGUUUUCUUCAAUCAAGAACGAAAGUUAGGGGAUCGAAGACCAUUAGACACGGUUUUAGUCCUAACCAUAAACUAUGCCCAC